rnacentral:rRNA from 1 species
GACGUAGGGGGCAAGCGUUGUCCGGAAUGACUGGGCGUAAAGGGCGUGUAGGCGGUGCGAUACGUAGCGGUUUUAAGCCUCCGGCUCACCCGGAGGAGGGCGGCUAAACGGUCGGACUGGAGGGCAGGAGAGGUGCGUGGAAUUCCUGGUGGAGCGGUGAAAUGCGUAGAGAUCAGGAAGAACACCCGUGGCGAAGGCGGCGCACUGGCCUGGCCCUGACGCUGAGGCGCGACAGCGUGGGGAGCGAACGGG